UAGUAUCAGCCAUUCUCUCUCUGUCCGGAAGGGAAGGUGAGCGAAGAGGUAGUAUCAGCCAUUCUCUCUCUGUCCGGAAGGGAAGGUGAGCGAAGAGGUAGUAUCAGCCGUUCUCUCUCUGUCCGGAAGGGAAGGUGAGCGAAGAGGUAGUAUCAGCCAUUCUCUCUCUGUCCGGAAGGGAAGGUGAGUGAAGAGUUAGUAUCAGCCAUUCUCUCUCUGUCCGGAAGGGAAGGUGAGCGAAGAGGUAGUAUCAGCCAUUCUCUCUCUGUCCGGAAGGGAAGGUGAGCGAAGAGGUAGUAUCAG
ensembl:lncRNA